GCCGCAGUGAAGCCUGAACUCGAGUAGGGCCCAAGCCAGCCAGGAAGAAGGAGGCAGCCAGAGUGUUCUCUGCAGCAGAAGACUCCUUGCUGCCCUGCUUAACCCAGACCAGCAUUUUCCAGCUUAUGAGUCAACCUCCAGUCAGAAAAUCACUUGCCCAUAAGGCCAUCUAGCAAGUACCACCGCUGAGUAAGGGAACACAGUGCUGGUGAGGGGAGCGUGACUUUAUCUUAGUUGGAGGUUUUACCAAGUUUUUGGUGUUCAAUAUCAGAAAGUUCUACCUGAUAUGUGGUUUGGCCACCUGGUGAAGAAGGCUGUGAAGUAGCCCACAAAAGCUUAUGCCGCAUGAAUAAAAUCUGAUUUUCCUCAAGUCCAAUUGAGGAAGCCAUCUUCGAUGUACCAAGACUGAAGAGAAAGCUAAAGGUUUAAGGAGCUUUAUAACAAGGUGCCAAUGAUGAUUCCAUAAUCUGUCUCCUGUUGUAAAGCAGAAUAUUUGUUUGUCUGUUUGUUUAUUAUUUCAAAUGUGUAUACUGCCCCAAACUUCCUUCCUUGCAUGGUUUACAUGUCAUUAUGACAUUAUUUGCUUUGUAUCUCCUAUUGUAAAUGGUUAAAUUGUUCUCUGCCAUCCAUUCAACAACUCCAUCAGAACAGAAACUGUUCUGCUAAAUGCUAAUGAGAAACAGAAACAAGAAGUACAUGUUGACUGAAUUCAGACAUAACAGGAAACUGGAGGUGCCUUCACCUCUGGUUUCCAUAGCCGUACAUCCGAAUGUGAGUAACCAGAAUUUACAGCAGAAAGGGACCCACGGUUUCCCUCCCCAAACUCCACUCUGAACCUUUGGUUCAGAGUGGAGUUUUGCCACCGUAAACUCAAUUUCUGCAGCGCAAGUGUUACAUCUGAAUGCUGGUGCCACAAUUUAACCCUCAUGGAACUGGAGUUUAGGGAAGAAGCUCCUCCCUCACUCCAGCUGCCCGUGCUGUCCUUUAUUAAAGAUGGAAGCCCUGGCAGCCAGUUCCCCCUCCUCUCUGCAGUCAACACGACUGCAGAGAGGCAGCUAUCCAUUCCAUCUAAAUGUGGAUGGGGGAGCUGGGGGAGGGGGCGCAUUAUGUCAGGAGGUGGCGUUAUGUCCAAAGGUAGCAAUAUGUCUGAAGGCAGCAGCAUUAUGUCAGCAUUAUGACCGAAGGUGGCAGUUGUGUUGGUUAGCAGGAGACCAGGCAAGGAUCAAUCAAGCCUCUUAAACACAACAGUACUUUAUUGCUAUAACAUGUCUGGAAUAAAACUUCACCCAUGAUGCCUCUGCUGUCAAAAAGACAGGAGCCCAAUAGGCCCAAAAUGUGUCACCCUGACCCAUAGCACCCCCUGGCAUAUGUAACCAUAAAUACAUUUUAGUUAAUGUGAUUCUACCAGUCACAAAUUACUUACUUACUUACUUACUUACUUGUUGAUAAAUAAAUAGUUUGGCCACAGUUACCCAUGUUCUAGUAACCUUUCACUUAGAUUACUGCAAUGCAUUGAACAUGGGGCUACCUUUGAAAACAGUCCAGAAACUGCAGUCUCUGCAAAAU